UCGGAGGCUCCCAGCCACAGACCCGUUUGCCUCAGGGAGCCGAGCUUGUCUGGAUCCACCAUGGCCUGGGCCCCCCUGCUCCUCACCCUGUUCACCUACUGCUCGGGUUCUCUGGCCCAGUACGUGCUGACUCAGCCGCCCUCAGUGUCUGUGUCUCCAGGGCAAAACGCUCAACUCACCUGCUCAGGGAACAACAUUGGUAGCAAGAGUGUGCAGUGGUACCAACAGAAACCUGGCAACGCCCCCCUACUUGUGAUAUAUGGUAGUAACAGCAGACCCUCCGGAAUCCCUGAGCGAUUCUCUGGUGCCAAGUCUGGGAACACGGCCACGUUAACCAUCACUGGGGUCCAGGCGCAGGACGAGGCUGAUUAUUACUGUCAGGUGUGGGAUAGUGGUGCUCCUCACAGUGACCCAACCCGAUGA